GAUGGGCAGAUGAUGAAUCCCAUCUAAUAAAUGGGUAUUUUUGUGUCUGAAUAUUACUCUUCCAUGAUGCUUUGAUCACCUUGGAGAACUGAUGCCCAUC